rnacentral:lncRNA from 1 species
CAGAUUAUUCUUUCCUUUUUUGAGGGGAAAGCUGGAUAUAAACUGGCAGUUAAAAAAUUGUAAAGAAAUCAACUUGCUCAUUUUCAUUGUGUAUUUUUGCUCUCAAGCAUUUUCCAUGAACUGUGUGUGGAUUCAUUGUCUGCAUUGGAUAACGAACUCUUGAGUGUUGCUGCUAAGUGUGUCCCCAAGAAAGUGUCAGAGCCUUUAUGUGGACCUUCCCAUGGAAAAGGAAACAGAAUAGUCAAUGGAAAAGGAGAAGGGCCUCCUGCAAAACAUCCUUCCUUGAAGCCUAGCACUGAAAUGGAAGAUCCUGCUGUGAAAGGAGCAGUACAAAAAAGAAUGUACAGACAUUGA